UACGCGCUCCACCAUCAACAGGCAGCUGACGUUAUCUUGCGCGGUAAUAACGCAUUGGGAGCAUUGCAACGCGAUUUGGACAAUGUUCAGUCUAUCAGGAUGAAUAUGGAAGCCCAAUGGUCCCAUAUUCUGGACACUGCUGCCAAGAAGACCCUGGAGUUGGGGACCAUCAAAAUGGCCUCACUCAACUUAUCCCAAUUCGUGCACAAUUCCAAGAGCGGUUACCCCCCUGUAGGCCAGGAGGACACUGUCAAACAGCUGGAACAGGUCAAGACCUUCAUUACCUAUUCUACUGAUGUCCUUUUGGCAGUAAAAAAAAACCAGGAAGCACUGAAACCACGACUGCUGAAUGAAAAAGAGGCAAAAGCAACUAUGAAUCAUAGAAUACACUAUAAAUCUGAUGAACUUUAAACAGAGCUUUUAUUGCGUACUUAUUGGUUUGGUGGCAUCCUGUGUUUGAUGACGUCAUUGAGUGAAUCACAACACAGCAGGCUUCACCAUAUAUUUCAUAUUAAUUGGUUACCUAAUAAACAUCAAUUUACCUAUCUAUCUCUAUGAAUCACCUCAAUUAUCAGCUCAUUCACAAUGUGAAUUUAAA